UCGAAGUUGUUUGAGCUGGUGUUGGU
rnacentral:sRNA from 1 species